rnacentral:rRNA from 1 species
GGACUACAAGGGUUUCUAAUCCAUUUUGCUACCCACAGUUUCGUGCCUCAAUGACAGAAUAAGAAUAGCCAAAUGCCUUCGCUCUUGGUAGUCCCCAUAAAAUCAACGAUUUACUAAAUCAAUUCCUCUAUGUAUUCUAAUGGCUUCUUCUUAUCUCAAAAUACCCGUUACUAGAUUUUUUCUAUCCAAUACAGUAAUUAUCAUCUAGUCUUACCGUUAGUAUUUAAUCUACGCACCCUUUACACCCAGUUAAGAUGGAUAACGGUUGUCCUCUUCGUAUUACCGCGGCUGCUGGCAC